GCUAUGAUUCAAAUAUCCAAAAGUGUGCCUUUUACUUCAGUCCUUCUAGACUCCUCCCUAAUACAGACACUUUAUUGUGCCACUCCAAUGUUCAUUCAAAGUGAUCCAACUGACAUCUGAGCUGGUGAUAAUAUAUUGGAACUAGGAGUAUAUCAGAUAAGUUGUUCAUUCAGUCAAGACCUUGAGGUUGUGCUGAUCAUCAUAUCAAACUCCAUUACAUAUUGUGCCUUAAAAACAUAUAUACAAAUUUUAAAAGUUGUUGCAGAACACUGGGCCAUUCCAUCUAAUAUAGCCCCUCCCACACACACCCUAUUGAGGGGUCUCUUCAUAAUACCUUAAAAAUUUUGGAACCUCAUUGGAUACAUUUUUGG
rnacentral:lncRNA from 1 species